rnacentral:rRNA from 1 species
CCUACGGGUGGCAGCAGUGAGGAAUAUUGGUCAAUGGCCGAGAGGCUGAACCAGCCAAGUCGCGUGAGGGAAGAAUGUCCUAUGGAUUGUAAACCUCUUUUGUCAGGGAGCAAAGUCACCCACGUGUGGGUGUUGGAGAGUACCUGAAGAAAAGCAUCGGCUAAACCCGUGCCAGCCGUCGCGGGAAUUAGGAGGAUGCCAGCGUUAUUCGGAUUUUUUUGGUGUAAAGAGUUGGGAGGGGGGUUAUUAAGUCAGCGGUAAAAUCGUGGAGCUCAACUCCAUCCAGCCGUUGAAAAUGAUGAUCUUGAGUGGGCGAGAAGUAUGCGGAAUGCGUGGUGUAGCGGUGAAAUGCAUAGAUAUCACGCAGAACUCCGAUUGCGAAGGCAGCAUACCGGCGCCCGACUGACGCUGAAGCACGAAAGCGUGGGUAUCGAACAGGAUUAGAUACCCUUGUAGUC